GACGAACGCUGGCGGCGUGCUUAACACAUGCAAGUCGAACGGAAAGGCCCUGCUUUUGUUGUGUGCUCGAGUGGCGAACGGGUGAGUAACACGUGAGUAACCUGCCCCUGACUUUGGGAUAACUUCAGGAAACUCGGGCUAAUACCGGAUAUGAGCUCCUGCUCCACUGUGGUGGUUGGUAAGUUUCGGCGGUUGGGGCUGGACUCGCGGCUUAUCAGCUUGUUGGUGGGGUAGUGGCUUACCAAGGCUUUGACGGCUAGCCGGCCUGAGAGGGUGACCAGCGACAAUGGGACUGAGAGAGGGAGCAGACGGGUACGGGAGGCAGCAGUGGGGAAUAUUGCAGAAUGAGCGGAAGCGUGAGGGAGAAAGGCCGCGUGCGGGAUGACGGGCUUCGGGUUGUAAACCGCUGUGGCCGGAGACGAAGCGUGAGUGACGGUAAUGGGUAAAGAAGCACCGGCUAACUACGUG
rnacentral:rRNA from 1 species